GCCCGUUGGUAACCAUGGCGACGGCUAAGCCCUCAACCGCCCAUCCCUCCUCGCUGAUUUCUAUCGCUGUGUGAUACCAAAAACAAAAAAGCAUUAUAAAACCCGGAGGCCUUUAAAAUUACAAAACACGUUAUAAACCAAUAAGGCGGCUGCACGUUUAAAACCGCCCUGCGGUGCUGUAGGCCGCCGCCAACCCCGUGUCGCGAAUGGAAUUGCGCACAACAGCCCUGUCGUGUAGGCCGCUGAUCCAGAUGGGCGGGUCACAAAUAAAAUAAUAAUAAUAAUAAUAAUAAUAAU
rnacentral:lncRNA from 1 species